rnacentral:rRNA from 1 species
AUUGAACGCUGGCGGCAGGCCUAACACAUGCAAGUCGAGCGGAUGAAGGGAGCUUGCUCCUGGAUUCAGCGGCGGACGGGUGAGUAAUGCCUAGGAAUCUGCCUGGUAGUGGGGGAUAACGUCCGGAAACGGGCGCUAAUACCGCAUACGUCCUGAGGGAGAAAGUGGGGGAUCUUCGGACCUCACGCUAUCAGAUGAGCCUAGGUCGGAUUAGCUAGUUGGUGGGGUAAAGGCCUACCAAGGCGACGAUCCGUAACUGGUCUGAGAGGAUGAUCAGUCACACUGGAACUGAGACACGGUCAAGACUCCUACGGGAGGCAGCAGUGGGGAAUAUUGGACAAUAGGCGAAAGCAUGAUCCAGCCAUGCCGCGUGUGUGAAGAAGGUCUUCGGAUUGUAAAGCACUUUAAGUUGGGAGGAAGGGCAGUAAGUUAAUACCUUGCUGUUUUGACGUUACCAACAGAAUAAGCACCGGCUAACUUCGUG